rnacentral:rRNA from 1 species
UACAGAGGUCUCAAGCGUUGUUCGGAUUCAUUGGGCGUAAAGGGUGCGUAGGCGGCGCCGUAAGUCGGAUGUGAAAUCUCAGGGCUCAACCCUGAAACUGCAUUCGAUACUGCGGUGCUCGAGGACUCGAGAGGAGAUUGGAAUUCACGGUGUAGCAGUGAAAUGCGUAGAUAUCGUGAGGAAGACCAGUGGCGAAGGCGGAUCUCUGGAGAGUUCCUGACGCUGAGGCACGAAGGUCAGGGGAGCAAACGGG